UCAGAUAAAAUCCUUUUCCAUGCCUAUCUUAGCUUGUUCUUGCUCUCCUGAUGUCUGAAAUCUGUUGACUAGGUUCGAGGAGGGAAUCUUGCAUUUUCUUGGUAAGAGGUUGUUUUAGGGAUGGGCAUGCUGUUCCAUGCCAGUACCUAAUGCCCUCCACCAGGAAAAUCAGCAAAUCAAUUGGCUCAAUUUUCUGACGUCUAACUAUGCUAAAUGGACCCACCUGUAUUUUCCUUGUGUAGAAGAAGUGCUUUGCAAGCAUCAAAGGCAUCAUUUCCUUGCUGAGAAAGGAAUGAAUUUAUGAUUUUCUUGACUUCAAUUUUUAGAACGGAUGGACUGCACAACAAGAAACAAUGAUGAUUGAACGCAAAGUCCGUAAUGUUUAUUUGCCAUCCAACUUGUUGAUAAGGUUAACGAACUGGAUGAAGCGAAGAUACGAAGUUUAGCUUGAUCAAAGAGGCCAGGAAGAUGCUUAUUGAGUUCUACUUCACAGAUGAACACAGAAGGUCCAGUUCCUGAUAUGGCAGAUCUGCCAGUGGAAAGCCAUGAUGUUGAAGAAAUGUUUGAUGAGAUAUAAGAAAGGCUACUGAGAUGGUCUUGUUUUUCAGGUGGCUUUGUCAAAGAAUCUCUGUGAAUUGCUUGUUCUUUGCUUUGGGGAACUGGUUCAAGACAAUGUCAACCUGAAAGGAAAACACACUUAUAAACAUGAUUCUUCAGUUGGACUACAUUUUGUACUUCUCAAUACCUCCAUAUUUCGGAACAGGUAGAUGGAAUGGAUGCUCUUGCCGUGAAGCAUGAAAAUUUGCUAAGGAGCAUGCUUUAAAAAAUGGACCUAUUGUGAGUAUAUUCAAUAGGUUCUAUAUUUUUAUGAAUUUUCUUUGUUGAAUUCCUUAUUGUGAUCAUUGCUAUCGAUUUCAAAUCAUUUGCUGUUGCAGUUCCAUUGUUUAUGGGUUCCUGUUGUUUGGAAAUCAUUUUGCUGAUUUGCUUUCUUGAUUUUUAAAUUGGUGGUGCCUUGCUUUGCCAUAGGCAGAAGGCCAGGCAUCCAAACUGAACCUCCAUACUUUCUGACACAGUUAAGGGGA